AGCUGACAAAUGUUUUGAUUUGAGUUCUUCGGGAGGAUGCAGCAAAAUUGUCAGUGUGACUUUCUGUGCUGAGGUCCAGCUGCUCUUCUCCUUUGGCUGCUGUGUCUUCCCACCAGCAGCAGGAAGGCCAGGCUCCAUUUGAAGCCCUUGGUUUCUGACAGCAUGCAACUCCUGCCCCGCAGGUACGCUGCCAUAAGUACUCUGCCUUCGUGUACAAUACGCCUUUGCUGAGUGGGUCAAUGAGGAGGCAGAAGAUAACCCCAGCAACUGAAGUUUAGCAGCUCUGGUUCACUGCUCAGCAAAGUCAGUGGGCUUCAAAAGGAAAGGAGCAGGGUAUAAAGACCAACCCGAUUCAGUGUAAUUCUGUUCUUCUGUAAUUCAAAGGAAAAGGUGGAGUAAAACCAGCUAAGAAUCUGAUUCUGAAUGAUGCAGGCAAGUUUGGAACAUGCUUGUAACUGUUAUUUAUGUAACUUUCAGGUAACUAAGGCUGACUUCUAAAAUGGCUUCUGUAAAAAGCUCUACAAAACAUCCACAGUGCAAUUUGCAACCGCUCCCCUGUACCAGUGAGCGGAAUGGGCUCACAGCACGUUUCCCAAGAGGAAGGCAGUGACCAUGGAGCAAGUUUUGCACUGAAGUCAGGAGAAACUACCAGUGUGGAAGAGAUUGUACCUGCAACAACAUUUUGUGGAUUUGAACGAGCUACUUAGCCCAAGGCAUCAUUUAAGACUGGUGCUGCGGAAGCCUUUCCCAACCCAGGGAUGCCGGCGGAUGGAUGGAUGGAUGGACCGGAUGUGUGCCUUUCCUGCAGCAGCCGGCUCCAAUGCUCUGCAGCUCAUCACGGCAUCAGAGCUACGGGAAACGGCCAGAGCUGCUGUUCAGCCAUUGAUCCUUUCCCCUCCCUCCUUCCCUCUCGCGCUCUCCCUGCUGCCUGAGGGCUCGCCUGCCCUCGCUGGGUGCGCGUCCCUUCUGCGGGCAUGCGGAGAUUGUCGUUCCUGGUCCAGGGGGAGAGGUGGAGGCGGCAAGGAGACGGCCUGUGUUGGUUUUGCAUCACAGUCUUUCAGUGACUCCACGUCAAGUAAAAAGAAAGGAAAACAAAAAAAAAAAAAAAAAAAGAAAAGGAAAACAAGAGGCUGUGGCUGCUGCCAGAGCCUUUCUACAGUAGCGAGUGCAUCUGCUUUUUCUGACCUCUGAAGCAAAUCAAUAUGGUUUUUAAAUGAUUUCCCUGAUGCCUAGAUCUCUUACCUUGCACUGCUGUUAUUCCAGCCAUGCUAU